rnacentral:rRNA from 1 species
GGGUUGUGAGGUUAAGCGACUAAGCGUACACGGUGGAUGCCCUGGCAGUCAGAGGCGAUGAAGGACGUGCUAAUCUGCGAUAAGCGUCGGUAAGGUGAUAUGAACCGUUAUAACCGGCGAUUUCCGAAUGGGGAAACCCAGUGUGUUUCGACACACUAUCAUUAACCGAAUCCAUAGGUUAAUGAGGCGAACCGGGGGAACUGAAACAUCUAAGUACCCCGAGGAAAAGAAAUCAACCGAGAUUCCCCAAGUAGCGGCGAGCGAACGGGGAGCAGCCCAGAGCCUGAAUCAGUGUGUGUGUUAGUGGAAGCGUCUGGAAAGGCGCGCGAUACAGGGUGACAGCCCCGUACACAAAAAUGCACAUAUUGUGAGCUCGAUGAGUAGGGCGGGACACGUGGUAUCCUGUCUGAAUAUGGGGGGACCAUCCUCCAAGGCUAAAUACUCCUGACUGACCGAUAGUGAACCAGUACCGUGAGGGAAAGGCGAAAAGAACCCCGGCGAGGGGAGUGAAAAAGAACCUGAAACCGUGUACGUACAAGCAGUGGGAGCACGCUUAGGCGUGUGACUGCGUACCUUUUGUAUAAUGGGUCAGCGACUUAUAUUCUGUAGCAAGGUUAACCGAAUAGGGGAGCCGAAGGGAAACCGAGUCUUAACUGGGCGUUAAGUUGCAGGGUAUAGACCCGAAACCCGGUGAUCUAGCCAUGGGCAGGUUGAAGGUUGGGUAACACUAACUGGAGGACCGAACCGACUAAUGUUGAAAAAUUAGCGGAUGACUUGUGGCUGGGGGUGAAAGGCCAAUCAAACCGGGAGAUAGCUGGUUCUCCCCGAAAGCUAUUUAGGUAGCGCCUCGUGAAUUCAUCUCCGGGGGUAGAGCACUGUUUCGGCAAGGGGGUCAUCCCGACUUACCAACCCGAUGCAAACUGCGAAUACCGGAGAAUGUUAUCACGGGAGACACACGGCGGGUGCUAACGUCCGUCGUGAAGAGGGAAACAACCCAGACCGCCAGCUAAGGUCCCAAAGUCAUGGUUAAGUGGGAAACGAUGUGGGAAGGCCCAGACAGCCAGGAUGUUGGCUUAGAAGCAGCCAUCAUUUAAAGAAAGCGUAAUAGCUCACUGGUCGAGUCGGCCUGCGCGGAAGAUGUAACGGGGCUAAACCAUGCACCGAAGCUGCGGCAGCGACGCUUAUGCGUUGUUGGGUAGGGGAGCGUUCUGUAAGCCUGUGAAGGUGUACUGUGAGGUAUGCUGGAGGUAUCAGAAGUGCGAAUGCUGACAUAAGUAACGAUAAAGCGGGUGAAAAGCCCGCUCGCCGGAAGACCAAGGGUUCCUGUCCAACGUUAAUCGGGGCAGGGUGAGUCGACCCCUAAGGCGAGGCCGAAAGGCGUAGUCGAUGGGAAACAGGUUAAUAUUCCUGUACUUGGUGUUACUGCGAAGGGGGGACGGAGAAGGCUAUGUUGGCCGGGCGACGGUUGUCCCGGUUUAAGCGUGUAGGCUGGUUUUCCAGGCAAAUCCGGAAAAUCAAGGCUGAGGCGUGAUGACGAGGCACUACGGUGCUGAAGCAACAAAUGCCCUGCUUCCAGGAAAAGCCUCUAAGCAUCAGGUAACAUCAAAUCGUACCCCAAACCGACACAGGUGGUCAGGUAGAGAAUACCAAGGCGCUUGAGAGAACUCGGGUGAAGGAACUAGGCAAAAUGGUGCCGUAACUUCGGGAGAAGGCACGCUGAUAUGUAGGUGAAGUCCCUCGCGGAUGGAGCUGAAAUCAGUCGAAGAUACCAGCUGGCUGCAACUGUUUAUUAAAAACACAGCACUGUGCAAACACGAAAGUGGACGUAUACGGUGUGACGCCUGCCCGGUGCCGGAAGGUUAAUUGAUGGGGUUAGCGCAAGCGAAGCUCUUGAUCGAAGCCCCGGUAAACGGCGGCCGUAACUAUAACGGUCCUAAGGUAGCGAAAUUCCUUGUCGGGUAAGUUCCGACCUGCACGAAUGGCGUAAUGAUGGCCAGGCUGUCUCCACCCGAGACUCAGUGAAAUUGAACUCGCUGUGAAGAUGCAGUGUACCCGCGGCAAGACGGAAAGACCCCGUGAACCUUUACUAUAGCUUGACACUGAACAUUGAGCCUUGAUGUGUAGGAUAGGUGGGAGGCUUUGAAGUGUGGACGCCAGUCUGCAUGGAGCCGACCUUGAAAUACCACCCUUUAAUGUUUGAUGUUCUAACGUUGACCCGUAAUCCGGGUUGCGGACAGUGUCUGGUGGGUAGUUUGACUGGGGCGGUCUCCUCCUAAAGAGUAACGGAGGAGCACGAAGGUUGGCUAAUCCUGGUCGGACAUCAGGAGGUUAGUGCAAUGGCAUAAGCCAGCUUGACUGCGAGCGUGACGGCGCGAGCAGGUGCGAAAGCAGGUCAUAGUGAUCCGGUGGUUCUGAAUGGAAGGGCCAUCGCUCAACGGAUAAAAGGUACUCCGGGGAUAACAGGCUGAUACCGCCCAAGAGUUCAUAUCGACGGCGGUGUUUGGCACCUCGAUGUCGGCUCAUCACAUCCUGGGGCUGAAGUAGGUCCCAAGGGUAUGGCUGUUCGCCAUUUAAAGUGGUACGCGAGCUGGGUUUAGAACGUCGUGAGACAGUUCGGUCCCUAUCUGCCGUGGGCGCUGGAGAACUGAGGGGGGCUGCUCCUAGUACGAGAGGACCGGAGUGGACGCAUCACUGGUGUUCGGGUUGUCAUGCCAAUGGCACUGCCCGGUAGCUAAAUGCGGAAGAGAUAAGUGCUGAAAGCAUCUAAGCACGAAACUUGCCCCGAGAUGAGUUCUCCCUGACUCCUUGAGAGUCCUGAAGGAACGUUGAAGACGACGACGUUGAUAGGCCGGGUGUGUAAGCGCAGCGAUGCGUUGAGCUAACCGGUACUAAUGAACCGUGAGGCUUAACCUUACAACGCCGAAGGUGUUU